GGGAUUAAAUCCAAAUCUGAGGCACAUUGUUGGGAUUGUAACAGAAGGGAAGUCAAUGGUGGGAUUAAAGAUUAAAUUACGUUCAGUAACUGUGCACACACACAAUUAAACGCUAAAAGUGGUUAAAGCUGCAACAUGCUACUUCCUGCGACAAAGCAUUCAGAGGAGACAGAAGAUGGCCGCCCUCCAACCGUGGCCUCCGCUGCCAACUCACUCGCGCUCCGCAAAAUGUGCCAACUCCUCCAACACUUUGAUGGCACUCGUGCGAGGCGCAGCGGGACGCCGUCAUCUGACGGGACCUGGCUGGACCGCGCCGACCCGCUAAUUAGUCUGAUGCGACGGACAAAAAGCUUCAGCAAAGCACAGUGGAAGAAGAAGCAGAAGAAGAAGAUUUUUUAGUCUUUAAAUUACAUAAGAAUCUUGGUUCGAUAUGGCUUUGGGCUACUUUUUUUUCACAUAGAAUCGCUUCAAUUCAUCUAGAAAGGCUGUCCACGACGUUUCGAGGUGUCUUUCUGGAAAUUUUGGACCAUCCUUCCAGAACCGCAUUUGUGAGGUCGCACGCUGGUGUUGGACAACCAAGGUCUCCCACCGGGUUGAUGUCAGGACUUUCUGCAGGCCAGCCAUGUUUAUCCACACCACACUCUGUCAUCCAUGUCUUUAAAAUGAUAGGUGGCACUUUAAGAUACGAGUUCAAUUCGUUCAGUGGCCAUUCAAAAUUAACUCUUAUCUCAAAUCAUCUUUCCUCACUGAAAUUAAAUGGGUAUAA